rnacentral:lncRNA from 1 species
GAAGCUGCAGAUGAUGAGAACGAAGAUGAAGAAGAAACACAAGACAAAGAAGAUCCAAAGUCUGCUAUUACUUGGACGGAGGAGGAUGAGAAAAAUCUAAUGGACUUGGGAAGCUCUGAGCUAGAAAGGAAUCAACGAUUGGAGAGUCUUAUUGCAAGGAGAAGAUCAAGGAAGAACAUGAGUUUGAUAGAUGAGAAGAAUUUGAUAGACUUGGUAAGUGCUGAUUUUCCAUUAAACAUGCCUCCCAUUUCAACAGCAAGACAGAACCCUUUUGAUCUUCCUAGUGAUAACUAUGACCUUGGACUGCCACCUAUCCCUGGGUCUGCUCCAUCUAUUUUAUUACCAAGGCGGAACCCAUUUGAUCUUCCUUAUGACCGCCUAUCCCUGGCUCUGCUCCAUCUAUUUUAUUACCAAGGCGGAACCCAUUUGAUCUUCCUUAUGACCCAAGUGAAGAGAAGCCUGAUCUUACAGGAGACAAUUUCCAACAAGAGUUAAUCACAUCUCAACC